ACGGAAUAGAUACCCCGGUAGUCCACGCCCUAAACGAUGAUUACUCGACAUUGGCGAUAUUACUGUUCAGUGUCUGAGCGAAAGCGUUAAGUAAUCCACCUGGGGAGUACGCCCGCAAGGGUGAAACUCAAAGGAAUUGACGGGGGUCCGCACAGGCGGAGGAGCAUGUGGUUUAAAUUCGAUGAUACGCGAGGAACCUUACCUGGGCUAGAAUGCGCGUGAAUGUUUCAGAAACGAGACAGGCUCAGCAAUGAGACACAAAGCAAGGUGCUGCAUGGCUGUCGUCAGCUCGUGCCGUGAGGUGUUGGGUUUAAGUCCCGCAACGAGCGCAACCCUCAUCAUUAGUUGCCAACGGGUAGAGCCGGGGACUCUAGUGAAACCUGCCUGCGUAAGCAGCGA
rnacentral:rRNA from 1 species